UGUGGAGUGAGUGCUGGGAUACAAGGAUGAAGAGGGCAAUAAUGAAGAAGCUGUCCUUCCCUCACUGCCCACGCCCUACCAGCAACCCCUGGUAGGAGGCAGGGCAGGGCCCAGAGGCAUUGAGACCCAACUUGCCAGGAGCCUGGGAACUGGAACCGGCAGCAGCCCUGGGCUGCAUCUGGAAAAAGAAGUCAGUGUCCAGCAGGUCUGCAUAUGUACGCACAUGGCUUUGUCUGAAGUGGGAAACACCGAUAUUAACAAAUUAAAAUACAAAUCAUCUGGCCGUGCAAUUCAACUCUUUGCUGCCUGAACCUCCAUCUUCCAGGGAGACAGAGCAGUGAGAAGCAACAAAGACAGGGCUGAAGAGGACGGGAGAGGCUCAGGACAGGUGAGGGACGCACGUGGAGCCGCUCCAUGUUUGUUCUGCUCUGCACAUGAGAGAGAGGGGUCACCCCUGCGGGCUGGAGGGGAGAGGCCCAAGGGCUGGCUGUGGAGGGGACAGUUGCACAGUGUCCAGGCUGCCCUCCUGCAAAGGACCUGAGGGAGAGGCAAGAACAAGGCUGAUUUGUAUCCAAAUUUUGAGGCACAAGUCCCCUCCAUCCUCCUGGUUUUUUCCCUCUGCCAGUAAUGCUGUGCGAAAUUGAAGAAAGUUCUAUGUCAAGGUUCAGUACUCCCUUUUUACAACGAGGAUUUGUUUUUGAUUGCUGGGGAACCACUGCCUCCAGUUCUGUCUGACAGGGCCUGGCUGUUCUGAGAUCCCAGCUCCACGGCCACAUGUGGUCACCGCAGCCCAUGCAGAGCAGGUCUGGGGGGAAUUCUCCCCUGGGUCUCUCUCAAGGCACCCUCAGCAACAGUGCACUCCAGCUCCACCUGCCACCACCACCACCGCCACUGGCAUCAGCUGCCACCAGCCACCACCAGCCGCCACCAACCACCACCAGCCGCCACCAGCCACCACCAGCCGUGACUGCUCUUGUGAGCUCCGCACGCAGCCCACCCAGGAGGCCUGUCCCAACAACGGUGAAAACACAGAGCCCAGAAGGCUGGCGAUUCCACCUUCCCCUCACAGUGGAAAAUCAAGGCCCCUGUCUCCAUGCUGAUUGAUGAGAAUGUUUCCACAGCCUGAUUAGGGGCUGUAGGCCUCUCUCUCCCCUGCUUGUUUUCUUUUCCUCUGACCUGCUCUGCCGGGGUUUUGUGAGGUUGUCUGUUUUAAUAAAGAAGCCCUUAUCUUCCUUAUAUUUACUCUUCAAUGGAAAUGAGCCUCAUCCUU
rnacentral:lncRNA from 1 species